AAUGCCUCUGAAAUCAGCGUUUUGGGCUUAGUUGGCUGUGGAGCAGUUAAGCGUGCUCGGGUGAGAGUAGUACUAGGAUGGGUGACCUCCUGGGAAGUCUCCACCGGGCAACUA
rnacentral:rRNA from 2 species